AGUGAACGCUGGCGGUAGGCCUAACACAUGCAAGUCGAACGGCAGCACAGUAAGAGCUUGCUCUUACGGGUGGCGAGUGGCGGACGGGUGAGGAAUACAUCGGAAUCUACUUUUUCGUGGGGGGUAACGUAGGGAAACUUACGCUAAUACCGCAUACGACCUACGGGUGAAAGCAGGGGAUCUUCGGACCUUGCGCGAUUGAAUGAGCCGGUGUCGGAUUAGCUAGUUGGCGGGGUAAAGGCCCACCAAGGCGACGAUCCGUAGCUGGUCUGAGAGGAUGAUCAGCCACACUGGAACUGAGGCACGGUCCAGACUCCUACGGGGGGCAGCAGUGGGGAAUAUUGGGCAAUGGGCGCAAGCCUGAUCCAGCCAUACCGCGUGGGUGAAGAAGGCCUUCGGGUUGUAAAGCCCUUUUGUUGGGAAAGAAAAGCAGCAGGUUAAUACCCCGCUGUUCUGACGGUACCCAAAGAAUAAGCACCUGCUAACUUCGUG
rnacentral:rRNA from 1 species